UACGUAAGGUCCAAGCGUUUAUCCGGAAUCACUGGGCGUAAAGCGUGCGUAGGUGGCGCGUUAAGUGAGAUGUUAAAUCGUGUGGCUCAACCAUAUCGAUGUAUCUCAUACUGGCGUGCUAGAGGACAGCAGAGGCAAGUGGAAUUGGUAGUGUAGCAGUGAAAUGCGUAGAUAUUACCAGGAACACCAAUGGCGAAGGCAGCUUGCUGGGCUACUCCUGACACUGAGGUACGAAAGCGUGGGGAGCGAACAGG
rnacentral:rRNA from 1 species